rnacentral:rRNA from 1 species
AGAAGGCCACAACCUCUAUCCGCCCGGGAACUACGAGCAUAAGCUUAAAACCCAAAGGACUUGGCGGUGCUUUAGACCCCCCUAGAGGAGCCUGUUCUAGAACCGAUAAUCCCCGUUCAACCUCACCUUUUCUUGCUCGUCCCGCCUAUAUACCGCCGUCGUCAGCCUACCCUGUGAAGGAGCCAAAGUAGGCAAAAUUGGUAAAGCCCAAAACGUCAGGUCGAGGUGUAGCAUACGAAAAGGAAAGAAAUGGGCUACAUUUCCUCUAUCAGGAAACACGAAUUGUGCUAUGAAACAACACAUGAAGGAGGAUUUAGCAGUAAGCAGAAAGCAGAGCGUUC